rnacentral:lncRNA from 1 species
UUUGAUCUUUUGAGUAAUUCUUUUCCCCAGAUCCCCACUUAGAUCAACUUUAAAACAUCUCCGGAUGUCAAGUGAUUCAAGGAGUAGACAACCAUCAAGAAUGGCUUGCAGGCCCUCAUUUGUCAUAUUAUUUCCCAAAAGUUGAAGGUGGUGCAAACCCGGCAUGCUUUUUGCAAUUGCUAGUGCAUCAUCAUUACAAGGGAGUUGUGAAUGUUUGUACGAUGACUCACUAAGUGUAAAUGACCUCAACUUAGGGCAGGAACGACCAAUAGCUUCAAUACCGUCGUUACAACUCAUUACAAAUACCAAGUGCAGUUCUUCCAACAAGGGAAAUCUUUUAGCUGCUUCACUCAAACCGUCACCUGAUACUCCAUAGCAACCCCCAAGUCGAAGACACCUAAGCUGACUUGACCUGUUGAACAGGUGAAAUUUAGAUUGCAAAAGUUAUAUGACUUGGAAAAGGGAAUUAUGUUUAUUUUUCCAUGCAUAUAAUUAGACAUAAUCCUCUAUAAGGGUUCAGCAACUUUAUUGGUCAAGCCACGGGGUUAUAUCAGGCAUCUUCACGCAAACAUGACCAUAACUAAAGCAUCAAGGAAAAAAAUACAAACAAAAUGCUGAUUGUUCAAACAAUCUUUACAGUAUUCAAGUAACUAUUAAAAUGCACUCAUAUUCUUUAUCAAAUAUGGAAAUUAUACAGUUCAAAUCAAGAUGUCUGAACAUCAAAAAUGAUCUCAUAACAUAUGAAACAUGUCAACAGGAAAUGUAAGCCAACAUUUGCAACAUUGUGUUCACAAAAUUUCCAAGUGAGCAAAUAUUAAACUAAGAAUGCUCAGCAGAACUACAAGAGCACCUUUUCUUUCAUAUCCUUAAAAAUCCUAAAAUAUGCAUAACUAUGAAAUAGGAGGAAGCACCUCAAGAAUCAUACAAUGUACAUUCAGGAUCAAAACUGAGCAAAAUCAACCAAGAUGAAUAUUUUGGACAUACUGCAGGAUUAAUUCUUAAUCAAUCAAACAGUUAAUUUGCCAAAUAGUUCUUGUUCUGUUAAAUUCAUUCAAAACAAAAAUUACAAAAUAAAUCUUACUAAUAAUAAUAUAUUGUAUUUUUUUAGAUGCUACUCUUCUUCAAUCAUUAAAAUUUCCCAACCCAAAAUAAUUCCAAUUACACCGAGCCAAAAUCAACAUGAUAUGUCACUCUGUGUCUUUGGCCAAUAAAACAGUAUUUCAUAUAACUAUAAAUAGUUCCUACAUAAAUCUUUUCAGAACUUCUUCUAAAAUCAAUCAAUUAGCAGUUCACAAAUCGAAGCAAUACUCACUACAUGUUUAUUUAAUAUAAUGAGCAGAUGAUGUUUAUGCAAAGGCACACGCCUUCCAUCUAUCAGGAAUGUGCUCUCCAUGCAAGGUUUUUGUCUGAUUAUUCUUUAAAAUUUUGUAUAAUUAAUAGCUAGGGAAGCUUAAUCUUACAGGAAUACUGUCAUAAUCCUAAUUAUACAAAACAACAAACACUUGUUACUAUAAAUAAUUGAGAAUUAUGGCCAAUAAUUGCUCCUCUUGAUUUAAAAAUUUAUCCCAUAACUUUUUUUUCACAGGAUUAACAUUUCUUGGCAGCUACAUCAAGUGAUGCUUCUCUUUCAAAGACAAAAUUCCCUAAAAUUUCCAUAGCUGCAUAUUGCAUUGGCUAGUCUCAUAUAUGGACCAUUAAGUGCUAGAAAACUAGUUGCCAACUAGCCAUUGUAAAAUGUUACUCAAAUGUCACGAGAUUUAAAGAAAAACUUCAUUACGAAUCACCACCGUACAGUCAUUUUUCUUUUCUUUACUUUACUUUUCAUUUUUAUCAAUUGGUAUUUUGGUAUGCUAUUAAUUAGUACAUAUUAUCAAUCAAAUGUGCUUUUAUGUGCUUCUUGACAGAGUUUGAAUAUCAGAUCAAACUUUGGAAAUGAAGGAUUGGACUGAAAUAAUUAGACCUCAUUUGCAAUAAACUAAGAUGACAAACUAUCCUUCCACUUCAAUUGUGCAUGCUCCCAUGAUUUAUAAAGGAGUGACUGAGGUGUGCCUCAACCGAGGCACACGAAAAUACUACUGGGGCACAAAUUUUAUUAGGCACAGAGAGACUUGUGCCUUUAGUGGCUGAGGCAUAAACCUCGAGGUGCAAUCCUGAGUGCGAGAGAGAGAGAGAGAGAGAGGUGCUCAUGCGCAUCUCCUUAAUUAUCCAGGGGACCACUUUUUCUUUAAACGUUUCAUAUUUCCAUGGUUGAAUUAAUUGGAAAUCUACUAUAUAUUAAAAUAGUUUGGGAAAUCUAUUAUAUUUUAAUAAAACUUACCUAAGUCAUUGAUUAUUAGCCAUAAAUUAUAGCUGGAAAUCCAUCAAACACCAAAACCUAAGCUAUGGAUGGAAAUUCACUAUAAUUCGAACACAAAACACAACACUGCAAUCCUAGAACUUCAUCACUCCCACUAAGAAGAGGCAGCAGGUUAGUCAAUUUUUUUCCUUUUUAAAAAAAAAAUGCAACUAUCACAAAUCGGUCUAUAAAUAACAAACAAAUUUCUAUAACUCAGACCAGUGAUAAUGACUAGUUGCAAGUUAAUAAUGCAGUUUUAAUAGAAAGUGCACGCUAAGGGCGUGAUUAUUAAUUAGUAUUAGACAGAACUAGAAAAGAACCUAAGAUUUUGUAGAUUAUACCAGCAGGUUCUAUCUAAUACUGCAUAGCAAACAUAUCAAAAAUGUUACCUCACCGUAAAUCAGUUCCAAGCUCAGUCUCAGAAGAAAUAUGGAUCAAAGCCAUAACCAUCAGAAUUGGAGUCAUGAAAGUAAUUAUCACCAUCAGAAUUGUAGACGUUAAAGUAAUCAUCAUAAUCAUAAUAUUCCCAGUCUGAAAACUCAGAUGAGUAGUAGUAGUUUUCCUCAGAUUUUACACAGUCAAAAAUAUCAGUAUUCCACUCGCAAUCUUCCAUGGAAUCGUAAGGAUGCUUGGAAUCUUUGAUCUUUUGAGUAAUUCUUUUCCCCAGAUCCCCACUUAGAUCAACUUUAAAACAUCUCCGGAUGUCAAGUGAUUCAAGGAGUAGACAACCAUCAAGAAUGGCUUGCAGGCCCUCAUUUGUCAUAUUAUUUCCCAAAAGUUGAAGGUGGUGCAAACCCGGCAUGCUUUUUGCAAUUGCUAGUGCAUCAUCAUUACAAGGGAGUUGUGAAUGUUUGUACGAUGACUCACUAAGUGUAAAUGACCUCAACUUAGGGCAGGAACGACCAAUAGCUUCAAUACCGUCGUUACAACUCAUUACAAAUACCAAGUGCAG